rnacentral:rRNA from 1 species
AUGGGCGGCUGGAACCGCAUCUCCAGUGCCGGUGGUCUACUGAAGCCGCUCGCCGGCGUCCCUUUCGCCUCCAUGCCCGGCGCCGGCGCCGCCUACUUCCUCGUCGGCUCCGCGCUCGGGGUCUUCGCGAUGCUGCACGCUUCCGAGUCUGAGGUCGGCCGCGAGUGGGCCUCCGCCGCGCACUGGGCCGCCCUCUCCCGCUCCGUGGGCGCGCACCACGUGCUCGUCGUAAUGUCCCUGUUCUACCUGGCCGCCAUGGUCUGGCGCCUCGGCAAGCGCUGCGACGCGGUGGAGGGGCUCGUGGGGAGCGCGGGCGCCACCGUGCAAGCGGUGCGCGUCAGAGGCGUCGUCUGCACCAUGUGUGGGAGUGGGACGAAGGCGCGGGCUCUGAAGAACGGCAGCUCGGGCCACACCGUGGAGCGCGCCCGGUCUGGCAGCUGCUCUGACAAGCCUGUUUCGAGGUCGCUGGCUUCUGAGCUGGAGCAGGAGGCCAACACGGAGGACGAGGACAUCGCGAGCGAGGUGAACGGCGCGGAGGAGGGCAGCGUGGAGCGGCUCAGGCGGCGGCUCGUGCGGGAGAGGAGGCUGAAGGAGGCGGCGCUAGAGGAGCUGGAGAAGGAGAGGCGCGCGGCGGCCUCUGCGGCUGACGAGGCCAUGGCCAAGAUCGCGUGCCUGCGAAACGAGAAGGCACUGGUGGAGCGCGAGGCCAAGCAGUUCCGGGAGAUGGUGCAGCAGAAGCAGAUGUACGACAGGCAGGUGAUUGAUUCUCUUCAGUGGAUGAUCAAUAAGUUUGGCAUGCAAUCCGGGGAGCCAGAGUUCUCAUCCGAGCGAGCCGUGUCAGACACAAGCGAGGACGACCGAGACAAGCGGUUGUAG